rnacentral:rRNA from 1 species
UCGCCUGUUUAUCAAAAACAUUUCUUUUUGGUUAAUUAAAAAGUAAAACCUGCCCACUGAAGUUUAAAGGGCCGCGGUAUUAUGACCGUGCUAAGGUAGCAUAAUCAUUAGUCUCCUAAUUAGGGAAUUGUAUGAAUGGUUGUUUCUUAAAAAAUUUUAUUAAAUAAGUUUAUUGAAUUUUUAUUCUAAGUGAAAAUACUUAGUUUUUAUUAAAAGACGAUAAGACCCUUUAGAGCUUUAUGUUUUUUAUCUAUUUAGGUAGAAAAUAAAAUGUUUUAUUGGGGCAAUAAAAGAAUAAAAGAAACUUCUUUAUUUUAUCUUGUAGUAUAAAAAUAAAUAAGUUACCUAAGGGAUAACAGCGUUAUAAUUUUUAAGAGUUCUAAUCGACAAAAUUGUUUGCGACCUCGAUGUUGAAUUAAAAAUUCUUGUUGGGGCAGCUUUUAAUAAAGAUAGUCUGUUCGACUAUAGAAAUUUUACAUGAUCUGAGUUCAAACCGGAG